ACGGAAGGCAGCAGUGGGGAAUAUUGCACAAUGGGCGCAAGCCUGAUGCAGCGAUGCCGCGUGAGGGAAGAAGGUUUUCGGAUUGUAAACCUCUGUCAACAGGGACGAAAAUGACGGUACCUGUGAAGGAAGCUCCGGCUAACUACGUGCCAGCAGCCGCGGUAAUACGUAGGGAGCGAGCGUUAUCCGGAAUUACUGGGUGUAAAGGGAGCGUAGGCGGGACUGUAAGUCAGGUGUGAAAUAUGCCGGCUCAACUGGCAGACUGCAUUUGAAACUGCGGUUCUUGAGUGAAGUAGAGGUAAGCGGAAUUCCUAGUGUAGCGGUGAAAUGCGUAGAUAUUAGGAGGAACAUCAGUGGCGAAGGCGGCUUACUGGGCUUUAACUGACGCUGAGGCUCGAAAGCGUGGGGAGCAAACAGGAUUAGAUACCCUGGUA
rnacentral:rRNA from 1 species